rnacentral:rRNA from 1 species
AUGGAGGAGGUUCCAUCCGAGGAUGAUGAUUUACUUCUGUCAAUUUCUUCUGGCCCCUUGACGCAGGGGGCGCUCGUGUCGUCCCAAGAUUUUCUUUCUUCAGACCCUGAAAGCGCAGCAAUAUUGGUGUCCUCUCAAGAUGUCCCAUCAUCAAACCCUGAAACUGGAGGCAUAUUGGUCUCAUCACAGGAACUACCGUCGUCGUCAAACGCUGAUAGUGCUGAAAGUGGUAAUGUUGUUAAGGUUGAUAUGUUUUUCUUCGCUGUUACGAGGUUGCGCACGAACCGUACAAAAUGUCACAAGCCGAUGUUUCAAAAUAAAGAAUGUGAUGCCAGUGUUGGUUCUAUUGCUAAAGCGUUUGUCCCCACUAGCAUGCUCAACUCAGACAGUGCUGAUGUUAUUUUAUAUUCUCUACGUUAG